UAAUGUCUUAAAUAAAUUUGUUAAAUUUCCAAUGAUGACACUAAUUUACACUAGAAAACUAUGAUAGAUGUAAAAAGCUCAACAGGCCUGAAGUAAUUUUGAUUUAACAGUAGUUUAAACGUAGACUUGUGAGAAAAUGGCAAAAUUAUGAUUUUUUUUUACAGGGUGUUCUCCUGGUUAUCGAGGGAUGGAGGAGAUCGAAAAUGGCAAUUUUUGUGGUCCUUUUCUGGCCACAAUCUGCUUCUAGACCACAGUGGUGAACAAUGAGGGGCACCUAAAGGCGAACCAAAACAAGGAUGUAUGGGUUAUAUUUUGCAGUGGAGAGCUUACCUUGGAAUUGGCAGUCAAAUGAUCAUUUUUAAGGUUAAACAGAUGGUUAACUGCCAUUUACUUACACUCCUACAAAAUUCAUCAAGCGACCAAGGACAAAAAUCUCCAAUUUUUCAAGGUGAAACUGCCACCAUUUGAAACUGGAUAUUUGACCGAAAAAAAGUUCUCCAGAAGAAAUGCGUCCAAGACUGUGUUCUGCUCCGUUUGAAGAGGUCUCUGGAUGACCAUUCUUUCAUAUGCAGAAGCAGAGAUAUUGAGGAUUUCAAGGAAUAAUGAGGGGAGAAAAACUACCAAUAACAGUUACACGUGGACUGAAGCAAAAGAUUCUUCUUGGGCAAAAAGUUGUUUUUAGGGAGCAAUAGGGGGAAAACACUUCAAGAGGUUUACACUCAGAGACUAUAUCGCAAGACUUAUUGGGUAAAGAACAACUUACUUCAUUUAUUACCCCACACAUUUAAGCCGGCCGUUUUCGCAUAUCAAGCGAAAAGGGUGUGCUCGUAGUGGGAACAGAACAUUCUUUGUUGUGUAUGGUAGCUCCUACUUUCAUAGGAAACUACCAAAGGAAACUUUGAAACAGUUUUUUUUAAUUGUGUUUAGUGAAGAUUAUAGUGAGAACAAUAUAGAUUCUUUAUAAAAAUAAACAUAUUUGGUUUUAUUUUAAUUACCCUUGAUAUCCCUGUUUGUUUACCCCACACUUUUAAGCCGGCCGUUUUCGCAUAACAAGCGGAAAGGGUGUGCUCGUAGUGGGAACAGAACGUUCUUUGUUGUGUAUGGUAGUUCCUUUUUCCAUAGGAAACUACCAAAGGAAACUUUGAAACAGUCUUAUUAGCUUUAUGUUUGUUGGUAAGUAAAUAAACAAUUUAAAUAG